ensembl:lincRNA
GUCCUAAGUUCUGAGCCAGCUUAGGGGUCAAACAGACCGCUGGUCACGUGGGGUGGUCACCUGGUCAUCGGGAAAGCUCAGCGUGAGACAGCUGACAGUGUGAAGACGCUGGGGGAGGAUGAACACAUGGAUCUGGCCUGAUGGAGACAAAAAGGAAACUUGAUCCUCAGUUAAGAAGAUACGCACCUCACCCCCAGCAGUGGGUCAGAAAAGUGGGCAUCCUGCCACACCCCAGGGUGCACCCCACAAACCAGUCAAUUGAAGACUCCCCUGAGGACCUUUUGGAGGAGCUCCCUCAUGACAGAGCAGAGGAAGAAACCCUAUCUAACGCCGAGAUUCACCAAGAGAACAAAAGACGUGUGCAGGUGCAGAUGGUCUCAAGAACCAGUGAAAAGGCUCCCCCCGAGGGCCUGGUGGAGGACCUGCCCAUGCGCAGGGCAGAGGAAGAGAGCCCGUCUAACACCAAGGUGACCUCAGGACUAACUGAAAAUGAUUGGAUUGUUGACCGAAGAUAUGACUCAAGUAGCGAGGACGAAGACUCCCCAGGCCAUUCCAUCACCAUUACUGCCCUUGUGCACGCAGAAGCCUGUGUUACAGAUUCUGAGGACUGAGUUACAGAGACCAGCAAUCUGCCUAUAAUUAAUUUCCUAUUUAAGUCUCUCUCUUUUUUAAUUCUGUUUAUAUUCUACCGGUGGAUGCUUCUUCAUUGCUCUUCUCUGUUCCUUCUUAUGAUUUUCAUCCUAAAGAACUUGGUCUUGUCCAGAGACUUGAGGUCCAGAGAUCUUCCAUGUCUAGAAAAAUUUCUCUCCAGCCCUCCUCCCUCCCUGGCUUUCCCAUCGUCAUCCUGACGCCUGACACCCAGUCUGCACAACUGAGUUGUGCUGAGCAAUCCUGAGUGGCCAGCAUAGAGGUGGGCUGGGCAUUAGAAAAACUGAGUACCCCUCCUAUGGGGGUUCUCCUGCACUGGAUGGCUCGACACGCACAGCUGUUUCUUGCCUUUCAGCUGUCAGGAUUACACAAUUUAUUUUUAGAAAAAGGUUAUUCCAUCAGGAAUCUAAUUCCAGAAAUCCUCCUGUCCUGGGUUCAAGAGAAUGAAUCAAGAAAGUAAAAGGUGAUGAAAAAGAGCAAGAAGAGGAAAUGUGAGUGUUAGAGAGGGUAGGAGGACGUGCAGAAGGCGGAUAAGUGCACUUCAGGAAAACCCCCAAACCAGAGGAGCGCCCUGGGGUGGCCACCACGGCAUGUGACCGUGCAGGGGAGAUGAGUGAUGGCUCCCAUCAGUGCCAGUGAGGGAAGGGUGAACUGACUACAUGUCCCAGGGAAUGGACACCCAGUCCUUCCCAGGCCCCGAAGAGGGGGCCGUACGUGCCUGCAGGGCUACCAUAUGCAGGACUCCGGGAGGGACAGGUCGCGUUGCAUUCUUUGUGGAAAGCGUCCCUGGUAUGGUUAAGUGUCCUGUCCUCCUGACUUUCUCAAGCUAAACAAGGAGCUCCUCAACUGAUCAGUGUGGUGACAGUGUGACAUGCCCUUGAUGCCCCACCCCCACCCCCGUUUCAGGCUCCUUGGACAAGGGUGAGGCGCGCAGAGGCACCAAGGUUCCUGCUCAUAACAAGCAGGCAGUUCCCUGUGGGCACACACAGUCACCCUGACAUCAAGCAGGGGACCCUGCAGGAUUCACACCUGGCUGGGAUUUGCCCAAGCCCUGGGGACCCCCUCAGCCUCUGUGGAGCCCCGUGGAACGGCCUUGGUCCCCUCAUGGCAUCGUUUCUCGGGCUGAGAUUCUGCCAACUUUCCACAUACAAAUAAAACUCAAAACACAAGAAUGUGAAAGAAACUCAAUGCAGUGCUAACUCGAGGGUAUGUUAAGGAGUUAGGAUUCUAAGUUACUUGCAUUUCUUUUUAUUUCCC